rnacentral:rRNA from 1 species
UAAUACGGAGGGUGCAAGCGUUAAUCGGAAUUACUGGGCGUAAAGCGUACGUAGGAUGUAAUGCAAGUCGGAUGUGAAAUCCCCGGGCUUAACCUGGGAACUGCAUUCGAAACUACAUUACUAGAGUGUAGUAGAGGUAAGCGGAAUUUCGGGUGUAGCGGUGAAAUGCGUAGAUAUCCGAAAGAACAUCAGUGGCGAAGGCGGCUUACUGGACUAACACUGACUCUGAGGUACGAAAGCGUGGGUAGCAAACAGGAUUAGAUACCCUGGUAGUCCACGCCGUAAACGAUGUCAACUAGACGUUGGGCUCCUUGAGAGCUUAGUGUCGCAGCUAACGCGUUAAGUUGACCGCCUGGGGAGUACGGUCGCAAGAUUA